rnacentral:pre_miRNA from 1 species
AGCCUACUCCCUCCGUCCCAUAUUAAGUGACUUUCUAUUGCAUGUAUAUCUAGACGCUUUUUAGGCAUAGAUACAUCCAUAUUUGGAUAAAUUUGAGUCGCUUAAUAUGGGACGGAGGGAGUAGAAU